GACGAACGCUGGCGGCGUGCUUAACACAUGCAAGUCGAACGGAAAGGCGCUGCUUUUGUGGGGUGCUCGAGUGGCGAACGGGUGAGUAACACGUGAGUAACCUGCACUUGACUGUGGGGUAACUUCAGGAGACUGGGGCUAAUAUCGGAGAGGAGCUCCUGCUGCAUGUGGGGGGUUGGAGAGUUUCGGCGGUUGUGGCUAUACUGGCGGCUUAUCAGCUGGUUUGGGAGGUAGUGGCGUACCAGGGCUUUGACGGGUAGCCGGCCUGAGAGAGUGACCGGCCACAUUGGGACUGAGGUACGGACCAGUAUCGUACCGUCCGCAGUAGUGGAGAGUAUUGCGCAACGGGCGGAAGCGAGAUGCAGAAACGUCCGGUGCGGGAUGACGGCCUUCGGGUUGUAAACAGAUUUGGACUGUGAUGAAGAGUGCGUGACGGUAAUGGGUCAAGAAGCACCGGCUAACUACGUG
rnacentral:rRNA from 1 species